rnacentral:ncRNA from 1 species
UCAUUUCGUUGGGAGUGCCUAAUUUGAUAGGUUGUAAAAUGUAUACGGCUGAGAAAUUAUUCCCUCUGCCUGAUCCAGGUAAUACUGGCGUAGGUAAACGAAGCGAAAGAUAC